UACGUAGGGUGCGAGCGUUCAUCGGAAUUACUGGGCGUAAAGCGUGCGCAGGCGGCGCGUUAAGACAGGUGUGAAAGCCCCGAGCUUAACUUGGGAAUUGCGCUUGUGACUGGCGAGCUGGAGUGUGGCAGAGGGAGGUGGAAUUCCACGUGUAGCAGUGAAAUGCGUAGAGAUGUGGAGGAACACCGAUGGCGAAGGCAGCCUCCUGGGCCAGCACUGACGCUCAUGCACGAAAGCGUGGGGAGCAAACAGG
rnacentral:rRNA from 1 species